rnacentral:rRNA from 1 species
UAAGCGGAGGAAAAGAAACCAACAGGGAUUGCCCUAGUAACGGCGAGUGAAGCGGCAACAGCUCAAAUUUGAAAUCUGGCUUCGGCCCGAGUUGUAAUUUGUAGAGGAAACUUUUGGUGAGGCACCUUCUGAGUCCCUUGGAACAGGGCGCCAUAGAGGGUGAGAGCCCCGUAUAGUCGGAUGCCGAUCCAAUGUAAAGUUCCUUCGACGAGUCGAGUAGUUUGGGAAUGCUGCUCAAAAUGGGAGGUAAAUUUCUUCUAAAGCUAAAUAUAGGCCAGAGACCGAUAGCGCACAAGUAGAGUGAUCGAAAGAUGAAAAGCACUUUGAAAAGAGGGUUAAAUAGCACGUGAAAUUGUUGAAAGGGAAGCGUUUGUGACCAGACUUGCGCCGUUCCGAUCAUCCGGUGUUCUCACCGGUGCACUCGGGGCGGCUCAGGCCAGCAUCGGUUUUGGUGGGGGGAUAAAGGUCCAGGGAACGUAGCUCCUCCGGGAGUGUUAUAGCCCUGGGCGUAAUGCCCUCGCUGGGACCGAGGUUCGCGCAUCUGCAAGGAUGCUGGCGUAAUGGUCAUCAACGACCCGUCUUGAAACACGGACCAAGGAGUCAAGGUUUUGCGCGAGUGUUUGGGUGUAAAACCCGCACGCGUAAUGAAAGUGAACGUAGGUGAGAGCUUCGGCGCAUCAUCGACCGAUCCUGAUGUAUUCGGAUGGAUUUGAGUAAGAGCGUUAAGCCUUGGACCCGAAAGAUGGUGAACUAUGCUUGGAUAGGGUGAAGCCAGAGGAAACUCUGGUGGAGGCUCGCAGCGGUUCUGACGUGCAAAUCGAUCGUCAAAUCUGAGCAUGGGGGCGAAAGACUAAUCGAACCAUCUAGUAGCUGGUUACCGCCGAAGUUUCCCUCAGGAUAGCAGUGUUGUUCUUCAGUUUUAUGAGGUAAAGCGAAUGAUUAGGGACUCGGGGGCGCUUUUUAGCCUUCAUCCAUUCUCAAACUUUAAAUAUGUAAGAAGCUCUUGUUACUUAAUUGAACGUGAGCAUUCGAAUGUACCAACACUAGUGGGCCAUUUUUGGUAAGCAGAACUGGCGAUGCGGGAUGAACCGAACGCGGGGUUAAGGUGCCGGAGUGGACGCUCAUCAGACACCACAAAAGGCGUUAGUACAUCUUGACAGCAGGACGGUGGCCAUGGAAGUCGGAAUCCGCUAAGGACUGUGUAACAACUCACCUGCCGAAUGUACUAGCCCUGAAAAUGGAUGGCGCUCAAGCGUCCCACCCAUACCCCGCCCUCAGGGUAGAAACGAUGCCCUGAGGAGUAGGCGGCCGUGGAGGUCAGUGACGAAGCCUAGGGCGUGAGCCCGGGUCGAACG